GACGAACGCUGGCGGCGUGCCUAAUACAUGCAAGUAGAACGCUGAAGGAGGAGCUUGCUCUUCUGGAUGAGUUGCGAACGGGUGAGUAACGCGUAGGUAACCUGCCUGGUAGCGGGGGAUAACUAUUGGAAACGAUAGCUAAUACCGCAUAACAGUAGAUGUUGCAUGACAUUUGCUUAAAAGGUGCAAUUGCACCACUACCAGAUGGACCUGCGUUGUAUUAGCUAGUUGGUGGGGUAACGGCUCACCAAGGCGACGAUACAUAGCCGACCUGAGAGGGUGAUCGGCCACACUGAGACUGAGACACGGCCCAGACGGCUACGGGAGGCAGCAGUAGGGAAUCGUCGGCAAUGGACGGAAGUCUGAGCGAGCAACGCCGAGUGAGUGAAGAAGGUUUUCGGAUCGUAGAGCUCGGUUGUAAGAGAAGAACGAGUGUGAGAGUGGAAAGUUCACACUGUGACGGUAUCUGACCAGAAAGGGACGGCUAACUACGUG
rnacentral:rRNA from 1 species